rnacentral:rRNA from 1 species
ACGGGAGGCAGCAGUGGGGAAUAUUGGACAAUGGGGGAAACCCUGAUCCAGCGACGCCGCGUGAGUGAAGAAGUAUUUCGGUAUGUAAAGCUCUAUCAGCAAGGAAGAAAAUGACGGUACUUGACUAAGAAGCUCCGGCUAAAUACGUGCCAGCAGCCGCGGUAAUACGUAUGGAGCAAGCGUUAUCCGGAUUUACUGGGUGUAAAGGGAGCGUAGACGGCAAAGCAAGUCUGAAGUGAAAUCUAUGGGCUCAACCCAUAAACUGCUUUGGAAACUGUUUAGCUAGAGUGCAGGAGAGGUAAGUGGAAUUCCUAGUGUAGCGGUGAAAUGCGUAGAUAUUAGGAAGAACACCAGUGGCGAAGGCGGUUAGCUGGACAAUAACUGACGCUGAGGCGCGAAAGCGUGGGUAGCAAACAGGAUUAGAUACCCUGGUA